rnacentral:lncRNA from 12 species
CAGGAAUCAAAACGGGCUGCAGGUUUAUCCUUCUUGUUUCUUUCAACUCACUGAUCAACCUUCUCAUUAUCUUCCCUAGCAUUUGGCUUGCUUGUGCUGAAUAAACAUUUUCCAAUCAGGCUUAUGGUUUUUUCUUAACUGGCUGUCCAAACACUAAUCCAUUAACUCUGUUCUGGCAGCACUUCCACAGUGCCCA